AUCGCUUCCCAGCCUUUUGGCUAAGAUCAAGUGCACUAUCUGUUCUCAUCAGUUUAAUAUAUGAUCAGUCCUCUAUCCAAGGACAGCACAGUACAUGGAGCAAAUUUUUGGAGCAGGGAAUUGAAAUAGGGACUUGCUCCAUUCACUCCACGCAUGGACCUGAUAUUCUCCAGGAAAGGUGCACCUCCU